rnacentral:lncRNA from 1 species
GCGGACGCCCCAACCCCGUGGCCCCCUCGAACCCCACGUGCUUCCUAAAAACACUUAGAACCGUUCCAAUACCUUUAGUACCACGCUCGGCUCAGGCCCAUCCUCAGCUCAGAGCGCGGUAGCACUGUCCUCCCGCCCAGGAGGUUUAAGGCCUGGCUAAACUCCGCCCCCCACCGCCCUGGCCAAUCAGGAGCCACGUCCUCCGGCGCGCUCCUUUCCCGCCCCGCCUCCCGUCUCCAUGGGAACGAUCUGAGCGUCUACUCCGCGUCCUGGGGCGUCGGUUUCGGUCCCGCCCGGCUGCGGCCGUUGUUUGCUGGGACAGUCCUUGGGCCGGUCUCCGUCCCUGUCCAGAGGCUCCGUACGUGAGGCGGACUCUCGGGAGCACCGAGCCGGGCGCGGAUAAGGGCGAGGACAGCUGUUGCAGGAACGGGGGCAGAAAAGGAGGACCAGGGGCCGAGAAGUCGCUCUGGCUACGAAAUUUCAGACACCGUUGUAAGUGGGUCCUUCACAGCCGCCCGCCCCACGUUAAAACUGAAGAAGAGGUGCAAGGAGGCGGAAGCAGCUUGGGCCUCGGGACCGAGGGCAUUUGCAGUUCACACCCAGUUAGUACGUGAGGACUGCAGUGAGUGUGGAAAUUUCAAGUCUCGCCCAGUCUUCUAUUCUUCCCCCCCAGCUCAGCCUUCUCGACCCUCCACCCUUCCCCAAAAAAGGAGCACAAAGGAGCAAGCAGGGGUCACGCCUUUCCUCACAGUCUGACCCGGGUGAGUAGGGGUCUUGUCUCAUCUCCCUCGACUUCUCCAUGGACUGUGGGAGUAGCUGAAGUGGCUGUGGGGACGGAGGGAGCAGACUGAAUAGAAACCGUUCCUCAUGUGCCUGAGAAGCUUUGAGCCUCCUCUUCAGCAGGCCCUGCCUCCUGCCCAGGGCCCUUUCUAACAUUUUUCCCACUUACUCAGCCACUUAGGUCUGCUAUAUAGUCCAUACUGCUCUUGGUGACCAGAGAUAAAUAAGCAUGAGAACGUCUUUCCUGGAAGCUGCUGUGUGACACAGCAGGUGAAAGAUCUGACAUCGCCACAGGUGUGGCACCUGCAGCUCCGGUUCCAUCCCUGGCCCAGGAACGUCCACAUGCUGUGGACGUGGCCAAAGGAAAGAAGGCCUUUCCUUCGCCUCGGGGAAAUCAACCACAUGAGGUUAAUAAAAUUUUAAAAUUAUCACA